rnacentral:rRNA from 1 species
UACGUAGGGUGCGUGCGUUGUCCGGAAUUAUUGGGCGUAAAGAGCUCGUAGGCGGUGUGUCACGUCGGCCGUGAAAACCUGCAGCUUAACUGUGGGCGUGCGGUCGAUACGGGCAUCACUGGAGUUCGGCAGGGGAGACUGGAAUUCCUGGUGUAGCGGUGAAAUGCGCAGAUAUCAGGAGGAACACCGGUGGCGAAGGCGGGUCUCUGGGCCGAUACUGACGCUGAGGAGCGAAAGCGUGGGGAGCAAACAGG